UAGGGAAUAUUGGACAAUGGGGGCAACCCUGAUCCAGCGAUGCCGCGUGAGUGAUGAAGGCCUUAGGGUUGUAAAGCUCUUUCGCGCGCGACGAUGAUGACGGUAGCGCGAGAAGAAGCCCCGGCUAACUUCGUGCCAGCAGCCGCGGUAAUACGAAGGGGGCGAGCGUUGUUCGGAAUUACUGGGCGUAAAGGGCGCGCAGGCGGCCUUUCAAGUCAGGCGUGAAAGCCCCGGGCUUAACCUGGGAAUUGCGCUUGGGACUGGAAGGCUUGAGUACGGGAGAGGAGAGUGGAAUUCCCAGUGUAGAGGUGAAAUUCGUAGAUAUUGGGAAGAACACCGGUGGCGAAGGCGGCUCUCUGGACCGUAACUGACGCUGAGGCGCGAAAGCGUGGGGAGCAAACAGGAUUAGAUACCC
rnacentral:rRNA from 1 species